UACGUAGGGUGCAAGCGUUGUCCGGAAUUAUUGGGCGUAAAGAGCUCGUAGGCGGUUCGUCGCGUCGGCUGUGAAAUCCCGAGGCUCAACCUCGGGUCUGCAGUCGAUACGGGAGGACUGGAGUUCGGCAGGGGAGACUGGAAUUCCUGGUGUAGCGGUGAAAUGCGCAGAUAUCAGGAGGAACACCGGUGGCGAAGGCGGGUCUCUGGGCCGAUACUGACGCUGAGGAGCGAAAGCGUGGGGAGCGAACAGG
rnacentral:rRNA from 1 species